rnacentral:rRNA from 1 species
AACGAACGCUGGCGGCAGGCCUAAAACAUGCAAGUCGAGCGGGCAUAGCAAUAAGUGUCCAGCGGCGGACGGGUGAAUAACACGUGGGAACAUGCCCUUUGGUACGGAACAACUCGAGGGAAACUUGAGCUAAUACCGUAUGUGCCGGUAACGGGAAAGAUUUAUCGCCAAAGGGAUUGGCCCGCGUCCGAUUAGCUAGUUGGUGAGGUAACGGCUCACCAAGGCGACGAUCGGGUAGCCUGGUUUGAGAGAACGAUCAGCCACACUGGGACUGAGACACGGCCCAGACUCCUACGGGAGGCAGCAGUGGGGAAUUUUGGACAA